ACUACUAUUCAAGUAAUGUCAUUGGUCUUAUAGAGACUGUUCUUGAAUAAUAAUGAUCACUUAUAGAAACAUUUAUUUUGCAGGGCUCUUCGAAAAAACAGAAUACAAACUAUUGAGGAGGGAAUAUUUUCUGGCAUGCCAAACCUGAUAGACUUGUGAGUUAACUCUACUUCACACAACAUUACUUGGGUCGAAUAAUGUUGUAAUAUGUCCAAAUACAGUAAUGUAUUUCAUUGUUGAAAAUAUUAUUUGUCAAUGGAUUCAUUUCAACUGUCAUUCCAGGGACGUAUCUUUAAACAAAAUUGAGGAGUUCUCACCAACUAUAUUUACAAAUCUUCAAAACCUAAAACAGUUGAACAUCUCAAAUAACCCUCUGACUCAUAUCUAUGAUGAUCAGUUCGACAUGUUUGUCAAUUUGCAAUCUCUGUAAGUAACGUAUGUCAUACUUAUGUAACAUGGUUUACUAGUUUUAGUGAAUUUGAGAAAUAGUGACUUUUCUGUUUCCCCUCAGGAGUAUAGAGGAGGUCGACAUACCAAACAUCAGUAUUCAGAUGUUUCGCUCUCUUCGGAACUUGGCUCAUAUGUGAGUACCGGUAUAUCUUACGUCUUCAUUUAUUAUUGUUAUGUCAUCGACAUUUAAUUUCAUGUGUCCAUACUG
rnacentral:lncRNA from 1 species